rnacentral:rRNA from 1 species
UACGUAGGGGGCUAGCGUUGUUCGGAAUUACUGGGCGUAAAGGGCGCGUAGGCGGUUGGAUAAGUCAGCUGUGAAAACCACGGGCUUAACUCGUGGCCUGCAGUUGAGACUGUCUGGCUUGAGUGUGGGAGAGGAAAGUGGAAUUCCUGGUGUAGCGGUGAAAUGCGUAGAUAUCAGGAGGAACACCGGUGGCGAAGGCGGCUCUCUGGACCACAACUGACGCUGAGGCGCGAAAGCGUGGGUAGCGAACAGG